UAAAGAAUUUCGGUAUGGGAUGGGGAUGCGUUCCAUUAGUUAGUUGGCGGGGUAACGGCCCACCAAGACAACGAUGGAUAGGGGUUCUGAGAGGAAGGUCCCCCACAUUGGAACUGAGACACGGUCCAAACUCCUACGGGAGGCAACAGUGAGGAAUAUUGGUCAAUGGACGAGAGUCUGAACCAGCCAAGUAGCGUGAAGGAUGACUGCCCUACGGGUUGUAAACUUCUUUUAUAUGGGAAUAAAAUGUUCCACGUGUGGGAUUUUGUAUGUACCAUAUGAAUAAGGAUCGGCUAACUCCGUGCCAGCAGCCGCGGUAAUACGGAGGAUCCGAGCGUUAUCCGGAUUUAUUGGGUUUAAAGGGAGCGUAGGUGGAUUGUUAAGUCAGUUGUGAAAGUUUGCGGCUCAACCGUAAAAUUGCAGUUGAAACUGGCAGUCUUGAGUACAGUAGAGGUGGGCGGAAUUCGUGGUGUAGCGGUGAAAUGCUUAGAUAUCACGAAGAACUCCGAUUGCGAAGGCAGCUCACUGGACUGCAACUGACACUGAGGCUCGAAAGUGUGGGUAUCAAACAGGAUUAGAUACCCUGGUAGUCCACACAGUAAACGAUGAAUACUCGCUGUUUGCGAUAUAUGCAA
rnacentral:rRNA from 1 species